GCCAUUGUUCGCAUGAUUGAAUCCAAGCAUAAGAGGAAGAAGAAGGCUUGGACCAUGGCUCUGUGCCUGUGAAGAGUCCUCAGUGGGCCACACUGAAGCUGACUGGGUUUGGCAUCUCCUGAGCUCUUAUCGCAGGAAUGGAAUGGCAGUUGCCCAAAAAUUGGCUGUAGCCACACAGACAUGAGAAUGUCAGAUCUCAUUCCGGAUGAAGCCCUGAGAAGGGCAAUCGAGAGCCACAACAAGAAGAAAAAGCGCCACUCCGAGUAGGAGCCAGCCCCCUGCCCACAGGGGUGUCAGCAGCCUACCUCCCCACAGCCACCAGAGAGUGAGCGUUCACAGCAAUAGGCCCGGCAAGCUCUGCAGUGACCCUCAAGGCUAAUUGUAAUUGAAAGCAUUUUUUAAGUUACACAAUAAAAACACAAGUACAUUAUAGUCUUUAUUUUCAAGUGCUCUGAAAUUUUAAAUAAAACUUUGAUAAUCUUC
rnacentral:lncRNA from 1 species